GGGGUGACAAUGAACUCGCACGGGAAAUGAAACUGCUCCAGCGCCGGGGCUGCCCCGGCGAGGGCUCCGCUGGCCCUGGCGGACGGGUUUGCUGCUCUUCCUGUCCUCUCGAGUUCCUUCCACCAUAUUUAUUAUUUUUAAUGACAUUCUACUUCCCAUUUGGAUUCAAGCUCCUCUGCCGGGUUGUGUGGAAGAGGGAGGGAAGGGGAGGAAUACUGAACCUCCUCUGGUGACUCGCAGUUUGUGCAUCUCUUAAUAACGCGAGCUCCUGAGCUCGGAUUUCACGGCUGAGAGGACGAGUCGGUGCUGCGUGUCGGGCCGGCUUGAGAUGCGCGAAUUCCCUGCUCUCCUGCCAAGGCUGGAACCUGCGGCUCUCCCGGGCCCACCCCCCGGCGCGCUCCCCGGGGAGGCGCUUCACGCUCGGCACGGCGCGGCCCGGCCCGACACCGCCCCGGAGCGCCGCGGGCCCGGCUCCCACUGCAACAAACUCUCCCUCCAGGUCAUGCCGCAGGCGUGCACUCUGCACUGCUGUUCAUUACAGUACACUCUGUGCUCGACAGCCCCUCACAAACAUGACAUCUUUAAAAUAGAGAAAAUAUUUGCAGAAAAUUCCAUUUCUAAAAAUUACGCAGGCGUUAAUUCUUCCAGAAAUUUGUCACCUGCAAACAAAUCUUUAAAAAGAAAAAGUGUUGUGCUUUGCUGCUAUGAAAAUAUUAAUGCUAAUUAUCCAUAUCAGGGCUAAACUCUAUAUUCAGUUGAAGUGCAAAAAGCAAGCACCCUUUGUCAUUAAUUUAAAAUACUUGGCAACACCCCUAUUUUUAAAUUUGAUAUCAGUAAAUCCAGAAAAUGUGCAAACUUUAUCAGACUUCAAUGUUUCAAAUAAACACAAAUUUUAAUUGCAUUGAGAAAGCCACUAAGCAUAUUCAGGUUAAAAAUAAAGUCACUGAGAUUUGGGUGAUUAGGUUUUCCCCUUUCCUUUCUAGUCUAGACUUGGGUAAUCCAUCAUAGCAGACCUUAAGGGAUGGCAAAUAAUCUUUGGUAUUGUUAGUUUUGGGGAAAGUUUAAUCUUUUAUAUCCUUCAUAUUAAUAUAACCUGUUCACUGAAAGCAUUUUUAGUAAUUAUUAAUGCUACAAAGGUACACGAACAAGAUAAUUAUUUUUAGAUAAUAUGUAACAGAUAUUAAUAAAAUCAUUACUGUUCCAUUUUGGCAAAAAGGUAAUUUAUGUGUUACUUUUGAUUACUUGCUUUAGUAAAAAAUUCAUCUGGGAAAGUCAACCAUUCAUUGAUGUUACUAGUGAACAAGCCUAUCCUAAUUCUGGCACACCUGGAUUCAGCAAUUAUAAUUUUACAAGAAUCUGAAUUAAGAUGUUCACUAUUGUAAGUUAUAUUUGGAAAUUAUAUAAU